GGCAAAGCCGCCCGGUGGAUGGCUCGGCUCGGGCGCCGAAGAAGGGCGUGGCAAGCUGCGAUAAGCCCGGGGUAGCCGCAGGCAGGCUUAGAACCCGGGAUCCCCGAAUGGGGCUUCCUGCCGGGGCCGAAUAGGCCCCGGCGCCCCGUAAGGGGCGGGAACGCGGGGAAAGGAAACAUCUUAGUACCCGCAGGAAGGGAAGCCAACAGGGACCCCCUGAGUAGGGGCGACCGAAAGGGGGAUAGCCCAAACCAAAUCCUCGCGGGACAACCGUGGGGAGAUGUGGGGCUUGGGCCCGGGCAACCGCCGGCGGGCGGUAGCCGAAGUGGGCUGGAAUGCCCCGCCGUAGAGGGUGAUAGCCCCGUAGGCGAAACCGCCCGUGGCGGAGUCCCGGGGUCCCGGAGUACCUCGGCUUAGUUUUGCCGGGGGAACGCGCCGGCCACUGGCCGGCAAGGCUAAGCACGUCCCGAGUCCGAUAGCGCACUAGUACCGUGAGGGAAAGCUGAAAAGAACCCCGGAAGGGGGGUGAAAAGAGCCUGAAACCGGGCGGCUACAGUGGGGCAGGCCCGAAAGGAUGCCCCCUCCCGAAGGAAACCCCGGUGACGGGGGAGUACGAGGGAGGGGGUCCAGGGUCUGCCCUUACGUCUAGAAACACGGGCCGGGGAGUUCACGGCCGUGGCGAGCCUAAGGGGUUCAACCCCGGAGGCGUAGGGAAACCGACAGCCCGCAGCGGGGCAACCCGCGAGGGGCGGGGUCUUAAAGGGCCCGUAGUCACGGCCGUGAGACCAGAAACCGGGCGAUCUAGCCCUGGGCAGGGUGAAGCGGGGCGAAAGCCCCGUGGAGGCCCGAAGGGGUUCUGAUGUGCAAAUCGUUCCCAUGACCUGGGGCUAGGGGCAAAAGACCAAUCAAGCCCGGUGAUAGCUGGUUCCCCCCGAAGCGGGUCUCAGCCCGGCCUCCCCGGAGGCGGCCGGCGGGGUAGAGUACUGAUCGGGGGUGCGGGAGCCGAAAGGCUCCGGCCCCCGGUCAAACUCCGAACCUGCCAGCGCCGUAGAAGGGGGGAGGCGGGGGCGGUGGGGUAAGCCUCCGCUCCGAGACGGGAACAACCGAGACCGGGGUUAAGGCCCCCAAGUGCGGGCUUAGUGUCAAUCUAAAAGGGCGUCCCCCGCCCAAGACAGCGGGGCCGUGGGCCUAACAGCAGCCAUCGGCUAAGCAACGCGUAACAGCGGACCCGCCGAGGCGGGGGGCCCCGAAGAUGUACAGGGACUAAGCCCGCCGCCGAGACCCCGGCCCGCGGGCCGUUGGCCCGCGUGGGGUAGGGGGGCGCGGCCGUGGGGCAGAAGCCGGGCCGUGAGGUCCGGUGGACCCGCGGCCGACGAAGAUCCCGGCGGUAGUAGCAGCGAAGAGGGGUGAGAAGCCCCUCCGCCGGAAAGGACCAGGGUUUCCUGGCAACUUCAAUAGGCCAGGAGUUAGCCGGUCCUAAGGCGGGGCCUAAUAGGCACCCGCCGAAAGGGAAACGGGUUAAUAUUCCCGUGCCGCGGGGGUAGGUUCUGCGGCAACGCAGGCCCCGUCCCCGACGCCUCGGGAUAGGGCGGGCGGGACUGCCGUCCCGCUUAACCGUCGAAGGCCGGGGAGUGCCGUAAUGGCGAGAACCGGCCGAAGGCGGGAAUAGCCGGGGGUUUCCCCGGUCCGCCCGACUCCUGGGGCCCGUGAAAAGGGGACGGGGAACGAGCCCCCGCGCCCGUACCGAGAACCGACGCAGGUGCUCCUGGGUGAGAAGCCCAAGGCGGCUCGGGUGACCCCGGGCCAGGGAACUCGGCAAAUUGGCCCCGUAACUUCGGGAGAGGGCGCGGCGGAGGAUUUAACUUAACUCCGCCGCGCCCCCCGAGAAGGGGUGCCUGCGGUCUUGGGGUAUACCCCCGGGACCGCAGGUCGCAGUGGCAAGGGGGACCUGACUGUUUAACAAAAACAUAGGUCCCCGCGAGCCCGUAAGGGUGUGUACGGGGGCUGAAUCCUGGCCACUGGCGGUACGUGAACCCCGGGUACAACCGGGCGAAGCGCCGCUGAAGGCCGGGGGUAACUCUGACCCUCUUAAGGUAGCCAAAUGCCUUGCCGGGUAAGGGCUGGUGGCGGGGCCCCCCGAUAGUUCCGGCGUGCAUGAAUGGAUCAACGAGGUCCCCACUGUCCCGGCCCGGGGCCCGGCGAACCCACCUCCAGGUGCACAGUCCUGGGACCCCCGACGGGGCGAGAAGUCCCUAUGGAGCUUCACAGCAGCCUGUCGUUGCGGGGGGGCGGGGGGUGCAGAGCGUAGGUGGGAGCGAUGAAACGGGGUCUCCGGGCCCCGUGGAUGCGACCCUGGAACACCACCCACUCUCCGCCCCUCCGCUUACCCGCCGCAAGGCGGGGACAGCGGCAGGCGGGCUGUUCGGCUGGGGCGGCACACCCCUGAAAAGAUAUCGGGGGUGCCCAAAGCUCGGCUCAGGCGGGUCAGAAAUCCGCCGUAGAGUGUAAGGGCAAAAGCCGGGCUGACUGGGCCCUUGAACGCAAGGGGCCCAGGCGGGAAACCGGGGCCUAGAGAACGCUCGUGCCCCCACCAGUGGGGGCCGGGCAUGACAGAAAAGUUACCCUAGGAAUAACCGGCUCGUCGCGGGUGAGAGUCCCCAUCGACCCCGCGGUUUGGUACCCAGACGUCGUCUCUUCCCAUCCUGGCGGUGCAGCAGCCGCCAAGGGUGGGGCUGCCCGCCCAUUAAAGGGGAACGUGAGAUGGGUUCAGACCGUCGCGAGACAGGUCGGUCUCUACCUGUCGGGGGCGCUGGCCGCCUGAGGGGAAGGUGCCCUCAGUACGAGAGGAACGGGGCGCCGCGGCCUCUAGUGUACCGGUUGUCCGGCAGGGCACUGCCGGGCAGCCACGCCGUGGGGGAUAACCGCUGAAAGCAUCUAAGCGGGAAGCCCUCCCCGAGACGAGGCGGCCGUUGCCCUGGGGGCAACCCCGGGGCACGAGGGCUCCCGUAGAAGACGGGGUUGAUGGGGGGGCGGUGUAACCCCCGAGGGUUUCCCGAGGGGAGAGCCGGCCCCUCCCAAUCGCCCGA
rnacentral:rRNA from 1 species